AAAGCACUCUGUGUGGGGAACAUGAGAGCCAGACCAAAGCUCAGAGGAACCAGCCUGGACCUCCACCCAGCUCUGUGUCCUGUAAGAGUGACGCGUCUAAAGAUGACUUCAUUAAUUUCAAAGUCUCUGCUGCAGAGAGAGGUCAGAGGUCACAGUCUGCAGGAUCCAGCUGUCCGUCGGUGAGGAGUGAUGGGUCCAAAGAUUACCCUCUAGACUUCAGUGGUGAACCUGGACCAACGAGAGAGAGGAAGAGGAGUGGUGUUUGUGAGGAGGAGCAGCUGUCCUGCUGUGCUUUGUGUCAGGACGUCCUGAAGGAUCCAGUCUCUACCAGCUGUGGACACUGGUUCUGCAGACAGUGCAUCUCCUCAUACUGGGACCAGUCUGCUUCAUCGGGAGACUCCUCCUGUCCCCAGUGUGGAGAAAGAUCCAGAAGCAGAGCUGGACUGCAGACAGCCAGUCAGAGCAGCUGUGUACAAACAGAUGUUGGUCUGCAG